AAGGGGUCGAUGCCAGGAAUUUCAUUGCGAGACAGAAUUCGAAAUGAGGAUAUUCGCCAACGCAAUAAAGUUACCGACAUUGCAAAAAGGAUUAACUCAAGUGGGAAUGGACCGGCUAUAUUUUUCGCAGAGAUGACGAUCAAUGGGGUCGCCUAGUAUUGCUGUGGAGACCUAGCCUGGGUGGCCGAGGUGGCGGGAAACCACGAGCAGAUGGUCGGAUGACAUCAAAAAAGGGCAGGGCCCACCUGGCACAGAACCGUCACAUAUAGAACGGAGUGGAAACCCACGGAAUGCAGACCAGGAUUAUAUACUUUAGGUAUGAGUUUGUUACUUUUGCUCAUAAUAACAUGGAGUAUGUCACAGCUGCUCCAUGGGCUGCAUUGAGGGGCAACAGGAGCGAAAAUGUUAAAAUGGAAAGGAGCUCCCCCUUUCAAUUAGGGAAUCUUAGGAUAUGCUAAGGCAAACAGAAGGAGGCAAGGAACGGGACGGGACUGCAUCAAUUGCUGUCUGGAACCAAUCUUGUGGGAUGACUUCUGAACAGGGAAAAAACAAUUUCAUCAUCUACCCUAAUACUGACGAAUGUUCUAAAACGUGCUGUAAGGCAGACAUUUCCAAAUGUAACGGAGGAAAGUUUCGAGACAUGUAAUGGUUUCAACACGCUGCUGAGACCCAACUCAAGAGACGUCAGUUUGUACUGUUUAGUCCAUUCUCUAUUGGGCAUGCUUGUAUUGAGAGGUAUAUAUAUUGGAGUACAGACAUGGUGUUUGGUAUGAGUAUUAUAUACAUCCUCUUGAGUCAAAUAGGACCGGUAGCCACUUUGAACUCCGUGUCCGAAAGGGUCAAAGUAUGGAGCUCCCGGUACUCAGAAAAAAAAUUCUGGCCUAUUAGUUUUGAACUUUCGAGUCAAGUUUGGUGUCAUUUUUAUGUAAACUAUUCGUUUCGUUUUUAAAUUGAAGAAGAUUAAAAAUCACAGUAAUAUUAUAAAGGCAAAAGUUUGUGAGCAUACUGUGUUUGUUACUUCCUCACGCCACGCCCAAGUGCCUUAACAAAUAUUAUUUAUAAAAUUAAGUAUGGAGGAAGUACGAUAUACCCUAAGUUAACACGUCACUUCUUCUUGAUCGUGGGUAACACUCGGGGCGCAGUAUAAUGAUUAUUAAAAAUCUUUAUGCUGUCCCCUAUGCUGCGAUGGCGAUCGUUGCAGUACUUUCAAUAUUUUUUUUACAUCAAAUAUUAGAAUCAUCAAAGAUUACUAAUAAAAUAGGCUUUUUAGAAAUAUUUUUUAAAAAUCAUGAUUAGUAUAAAAAUACGGAAAUAUGAGGAUUUGUUUGCAUUUCGUGGCUACUAAAAAUUCAUUUAAAUUAUUAAAUAUUGUGCUAUAUUUUGCUAUGGAACCCUAAAAAAGUAGUUACAUAAAAAUGACACUAAAAUUGACUCAAAAGCUCAAACUAAUCGGCCAGAA